rnacentral:tRNA from 1 species
GGCAGUGUAGCGUAAUGGGUAAGGAGUUCUUCUUGUAACCUGAAGGUCGCGGGUUCGAUUCCCCGGUAGACGCUGCCG